rnacentral:lncRNA from 10 species
AAAUUUCCCUCUACACACUGCUUUAAUUUUGAAAUGGAGUUUUGCUCAGUUUCCCAGGCUAGAGUGCGGUGGCAUGAUCUCAGCUCACUGCAACCUCUGCCUUCUGGGUUCAAGUGAUUCUUGUGCCUCAGCCUCCCAAGAAACUGGGACUACAGGCAUGUGCCACCACACCCGGCUAAUUUUUGUAUUUUUAGUAGAAACAGGGUUUCACCAUGUUGGCCAGGCUGGUCUCGAACUCCUGACCUCAAGUGAUCCUCCUGCCUCGGCCUCCCAAAGUGCUGGGAUUACAGGCGUGAGCCACCAUGCCCAGCCCCAUGUCCUUUUUAAUGCCUGGAUUGACUUUGUGGGACAUGAGGCCAAGGUACCUUUUAAGAUGUCACCUGUAUAGCAUACUAGUAGUGAAUGUAGGCUUUGAAGUCAGAUGCAUCUGGCUGUGAGCUGUGACUAGUCAUAUACUAGUUGUGUCAUUUUGAACAGGUUACCUAACCUCUGGCUCCUCAGUUUGUUCAUCUGUUUAAAAAUUGUGGGAAUAACAGUUCCUGCUGGGUCAUUGCAAGAUGUCAGUGAGACGUGUCAAGUGCUUAGAAUAGGGCUUGGCAUAAGUAGAGUCUCAGUAGGGUAGGUGUUAUUUAAUCCCAGAAAUAACUGACAACUUUGGAAGAUGAGAGUGAAUGUCUCCGAUCAUUAAUUUAUUUAACAAAUACUUAUCUAGUACUAUGUGCCCGGCGCUGUAGACACUGCCAUGUUUUAUCUCAUUCAAUAUUCACAGUGACUGCCCAGUGAAUGGUAUUGCCUCCAUCCUCUGAGAAGGUAAAGAGCCUAUCCCAGACCCCACGAGUGGAGGCGUCAGGGAGGGGUUCUUGGCAGGAGAUGGGUCUUGUAGAAAGGCUUCUGCUUUGCUUUCACUCACGGCCUGUGGCCAGUUUGCUCAGACAGCUCCCAUCAGGACACCAUUGGCAGCUUUUGCAUGACCCUGCCUCCCAGGGUCUUCCUGCGUUUUUCCUUAAGUUGCCUUAUUCUUUGGUUGUUUCCCUACUUGUUUUUGUUAGACUGUGGGAGGAAGAAAUCCAUUUCAAAUCUGCUGAAACCUGUUACCAAGCAACAGCAGUGAUUAAAAGCAACCUGAUGAGUGAGUAAAGAAUUAGGGUUUCAGACCUGUAGUUAAUGAUGGUCUCUGUCUCCCUGCUGCCCUGCAUUCCCUUCCCUUCCGUUCACUGCUGGGUGAAGGAGGGCUUGCUGCAUUUUGGAAGUUAAGGGAACCAAUAAGGUGACUCUUUUGCAGAUUGGAAUAUGGUGCUCAGCCAGCCAUAUGGAAGCACUGUCCUGGCGUGAUCUGCCCUGGGCUGUUGGCUCUCUGAGUGCUGUCUUGGGAGGAGCACUGCCCUUCAGAACAGAAGAGAUGGCUUCCAGUCCCCUCUCCCCCUUCUCCCAGUCUCUCUGAGGCUGCUUGUUGGGUAUUGGGCGUGCUGUGUACUAACUCACUCCCGUCUCUUGUCUCAUUAUCUGAAAUGCAUCCCCUUUUGCAGAAAGGGCUCAAACGGAGCCUUCAGUUCUGCUCCUCUGCAUAGCCGUAGCUCAGAUCCUAGCUCAAGAUGUCUUGUCUGGGAAGGGCAAAACAUGGUCCCCAGUGUAGCAUUUUCACUGGGUUGAUUAUCUCAGUGGUGGAUCAUCUAUCACCCUUGUGUGGUGACUUUGUGAAUUAUCUGCCUGAGUGCCACUUCCCUUCCACCCUAAUCACUGCAGGCUCAGGGAGCAAGAAAUAAAAUCAUGAAAUGCAUUCCAAAUAAAAUUACCUUUUGGCUGGGUGCAGUGGCUCACACCUGUAAUCUGAGCACUUUGGGAGGCUGAGGUGGGUGGAUCGCUUGAGGUCAGGAGUUCAAGACCAGCCUGGCCAACAUGGCAAAACCCCAUCUCUAC